AAAAUCUGCUACUUUGCCUCUUCCCAUGCCACAGAUACAUGUAUAAGCAAAGACAUUUCCUGUACUGGUACAAAGAAAUAAACAAUUUCCCUAACCCCUCCUGUUAUGUAGAGAAAACAAUCAUACUUUCUCCCAUCCACACCCACCUAAUCUUUUCCUUCACUGUAGCUGAAAAAAAGCUUUGUCUUCCUCAAUAUCCCUGUAGAUGUCCACAGGCCCUCCCUGUGUCCUUUCCCAUUGGCUGCCAGGUGUAUAAAUGGUGUUUUCUGAUUACUUUCUGUAUUUUCUCAUAAUUUUCAGAAGCUGCGCAUGCACAUCAAAGCUAUCUGAAUAUCAAACACUGCAAUAACAUUAGGGUUCUCAGAUAUCUUAAACGUUUCAGGAAUGAAAAAAAAAUACUUUUCUAGUUAGUCUAAAGAGGGGAAGGGCUUGUUCACCUUCAAGAUGGAUAAGAAAAAACAGAAUUGAUAUCAAUUAUCUUUCCAUAGGGCUUGCAGGAGUUUUUCAUCUUAAAUGAUGUGCCUUUUCUGAGUGUCGAUGUCACAGAUGGUUUCAUGCACGUUCUGGGGUUAGUUACACCUUAACAUUGAGAUAAGACAAAGCCCACUAAGUGCCCUGUUUCAACUCCUUUCCAGUCAGGUACACUAUCCACAGUAUGCCUUCCACAGUUUAUUCAACACUCUUGGACUGCUAUGCAUACUAUGUAAAAAAUUGAGCUAGUCUAUCACAUAGUAAACAGUAUUUUAACUCAGUGGGAACACAUUACAUUGGUACCUGUCCUCUUUCUAAAACUGUGUGCACUGUAGGCAUUCAUCUUGAAGCCUGCGAGUGUCCUUGGGCCUGUUUGGAUGCCUUUCUUUCUCUCUCUCCGUCACUUUCUCCAUCUGCAACCCAUCUGCUGUCAAAGAUGGAGUAGUAGUACCUGAUGGAGUCUGAAGUGGAACUCAAGAUAAGGGCAAGCCCAUCUUGAUUCCUUCUGAAUGCAAUGCAAGCAACUUCAGUUUAAAAGCCUCUUUCAUGCAGGAUUUAGGUUGAUAAAGAGGAGGAACAUGCUAAUAUAAUUGUAAAAUACCUUGGCUGCAAAUAGCAAUGCCUUUAACAGCCUCUUCAAAAUCAUAGAGGCGGAUAUAUAAAGAAAAGAAGAAAGCAAAGCCUAAAUACUCAAAGACAAAGGAAAGGUUAAUUCUUUCACACCAAGUCUUACCCUCAGGAAUCUGAAAUAUGUCCUGUUGAGUGGCCACAAAACUUUUUUCUUUCUAAUACUGGCCAUACUGAACAUAUCAGCACUUUCCAGACCAGUGCUACACAGGAUGAGAUCAACAGACUUCAGUUCCCAGGACAGAAAUAAGUAUUAAGCAUCUCACAGGAGAAAGUGUAUGGUUCUCAGAAAUUAGAGAGCAAAAUGAAUUAGGGUUUUAUUGAUCCUUUUUCCUGCUCACGCAGCUUUUAUUACCCAAAGGUGUGAACUAACCUGUAAUGAUAGAAGAUUAGUCUUCCCUUUCUUGCAAACAAAUCCAGUGAGUGUUCAUGAGUGACAGAUUACUUAGACUCAUAAAAUAGUUUAGGUUGGAAGGGACUUUUAAAGGCCAUCUGGUCCGACCCCCUGCAAUGAGCAGGGACAGUUUCAAAAAGAUCAGAUUGCUCGGAGCCCUGUUCAGCCUGAUCUUGAAUGUUUCCAGGGAAGAGGCAUCUACCACCUCUCUGAUGGCACCACCUAUGCCAAAGAUCUCUUACUCAUAUCUAGUCUAAAUCUACCCCCUUUUAGUUUAAAAACAAUACCUCUUGUCUUAUCGCAACAGGUCCUACCAAAAAAGUUUGUCCCCAUCUUUCUCAUAAGGCCUCCUUAAGUAUCAAAAGGCCAUAAUAAGGUUUCCCUGGAGCCUUUUCUUCUCCAGACUGAACAACACCAGUUCUCUCAGCCUAUCUUCACAGGGCAGGUACUCCAUUCCUCUCAUCAUUUUUGUGGCCUUCCUCUGGACCCACUCCAACAGGUCGAACAGGUACCCAAAGAGGCCUGCAGACUGGAAAGUGCCAGCUCGGUGGGGCACAGGCAGUACUGGUUCUGUACCACAAUGAACACCUAAGGAAGAAGGUGAAGAAGCAGCAGUUGGAAGUGCUGAUGGAAUCAGAAGGCUGUUUGCCACAGCUGUCUUGAAGAGGCUUGGGUUGGUCUGUUACAGAUAUUAUCCUCCCAUGAUAAACUAUACCAAGUGUUCUAGGAAAAAAAUUAACAACUGUCUGGUAAAAAUGAUGUGGUGGAAUCACAACCAUUAAAUAAGAAAAUUAAAAGUCAUUAAAAAAAAAAAACAACAGAGCCAGAACAGUCUAGAACAAAGCAUGUAAUCUGUAAAACCUUGUCUAAAAGUAUUCCUGCCCACAUAGUACAUUAAAAUGCAUUAUUGACGAUAAUAUGCUAAUACAGAGUGAUACAGAACAUGCUGUGUUUCUUGAGCCAUUCAGUCAGGGCCCUUGUGACCAAGACAGAUCCUAAGCAGACUGUGAGGGGCUGCUGAGGUCUGUUUUUUCAGGCUGCCUUGGGGCCCAGUUCAUAUCUAGUUACCCUGUUAGAACACUGUAUCUCCUUAGCAUCACUGUGAGAUCUCCUAUGCCUGUCCACUUACCUCUCUAAAGUGGGUGCUGGUUAGGGUUUAAUUAUAUGGGUCUUUGGUAUGUAGUUGUAGGGCAAGCGAGACUGGCUGGUCAGUCACACAGCAUCUCCUCCACUGUAGUAUUAGCAUAUGCUUAUGUGGUCAGACACCAGGGAAUUCCUGAGAAGCCAUGCAUGUCCAAAACUGCAGUGAUGACACUGUGGAGCUCCCGGAGUGACGGGUGCAGCCGUUGCUCAGCACCUUGUUAUGCUCUGACUAUUCUCAUCAGACACUGCAAACUAUUUUUGCUUUAGAUAAAUGACCUCUAGGUAAAGCAAAUACAAGACUCCUUGAACAUCAUGGACUUGGAGGCCAUGGCACUUAUGGACAUGGUUUAGUGGUGGACUUGGUAGUGUUAGGUUAAUUUUUAGGUUUGAUGAACUUAAGGGUUCUUCCCAACCUAAAAAUGAUUCUAUGAUUCUAUGAAAAGUAGAGGUAAGACAAGCCUAGAACAAAGAACAAAAAAUGUGGCUUUCUGCUGUCUUUUAACUGUCCCCUCAUACUAAGCAGAAUCUUUACUCAUUCUCAACAUCUUUUAAAAUGUUCUAGGACCUAAGCUAUUUAAAAAUACAUGUUUUUUUUCCCCAUUGUUUUUGUGUAGCAAACCUUAGAUGCUGAGGUAGAGGCAUUAAACUACUUAGAAUAUGUCUCACCAUCAAUUAAACAUGGGUCCAAAUCUGUUGUCUCAGCCAGUAAUAUGCAUUUUAAAAGUAAACCCUUAAGCCCACUAAGUGGUUGCCUCAGGACGGCCUGAACAUAAUCAGCACCAGGUUCUCAUUAAUUUGUUGUGGAUAACUUAGGCAUGAGCAGGACUUUGUACACUACAGUAUUGUCUUUCAGUAGUUCAUGCUGAGAACAGUGUAGGCAGUUCAAAAUACAGUAGCCUACAAAUAAUAGCAUUGCAGAUGGAAAGCGCACCAGUCAGGGCUCGACUAGCUCUCAAACAUGCACUUCACUGUAUGGCACACGUGUAAGGUUUGUGACUCUACCCUCUCUCUACCAUUCCCAGAAACAAAAAAUUCCCAGCGGAGCAUCGCCUGCAACUUAGAAUAAAAUUGUAUUUCAAUGCAAUUAUAAAAAAAUGAGGUUAUGUAUUCAGAGUGUAGAGAGUUACUGCCACAAGUCAGCUUGCUAGUACAUAUUCAUACGGACAUGAGGGUAUAUGAAGCUAAACUGGCUUGCCAAGUUCAGGUGUUCCUUGCCCCUCAUUCCAGUGUAUGUUCUGUCGAGGUUAAACUUUAUUCUGUGUUCAAGGGUUUAAGAACUGCUAUUUAAGAACACAUAAUUCACAAUUUCUCUUACCGUAUUAAGACAAACUAAGGAUGUUUUAGUGGUCAUUGAGUUCACCCUGAAGAGAAUCUCUGAGAUCCUGUAAGUCUACGAGCACACAAGUAAUUUUUUAUUCUUCUGCUAUUACAGCUAUAUUGUGGGAGACUAUCUCACAACAUGUUUGUAUUUUAGUGCUGGCAAAUUGCAUAUUAAGUAAAAUAUGCAAUUUUCAUAUUUUCA